UGCAGUCGAGCGGUAGAGAGAAGCUUGCUUCUCUUGAGAGCGGCGGACGGGUGAGUAAUGCCUAGGAAUCUGCCUGGUAGUGGGGGAUAACGUUCGGAAACGGACGCUAAUACCGCAUACGUCCUACGGGAGAAAGCAGGGGACCUUCGGGCCUUGCGCUAUCAGAUGAGCCUAGGUCGGAUUAGCUAGUUGGUGAGGUAAUGGCUCACCAAGGCGACGAUCCGUAACUGGUCUGAGAGGAUGAUCAGUCACACUGGAACUGAGACACGGUCCAGACUCCUACGGGAGGCAGCAGUGGGGAAUAUUGGACAAUGGGCGAAAGCCUGAUCCAGCCAUGCCGCGUGUGUGAAGAAGGUCUUCGGAUUGUAAAGCACUUUAAGUUGGGAGGAAGGGCAGUUGCCUAAUACGUAACUGUUUUGACGUUACCGACAGAAUAAGCACCGGCUAACUCUGUGCCAGCAGCCGCGGUAAUACAGAGGGUGCAAGCGUUAAUCGGAAUUACUGGGCGUAAAGCGCGCGUAGGUGGUUUGUUAAGUUGGAUGUGAAAUCCCCGGGCUCAACCUGGGAACUGCAUUCAAAACUGACUGACUAGAGUAUGGUAGAGGGU
rnacentral:rRNA from 1 species